rnacentral:rRNA from 1 species
CGCGUAGGCGGACCAUCAAGUCGGAUGUGAAAACUGGCGGCUCAACUGCCAGCCUGCAUUCGAUACUGUUGGUCUUGAGUACAGUAGGGGAAAGCGGAAUUCCAGGUGUAGCGGUGAAAUGCGUAGAUAUCUGGAAGAACACCAGUAGCGAAGGCGGCUUUCUGGACUGAUACUGACGCUGAAGCGCGAAGGCCAGGGGAGCAAACA